rnacentral:lncRNA from 1 species
GCCAUCUUGAUUGGUUGGCCGGGUCACUGGACACAUUUUUUGAACAAGAUACCCCAAUGAUGAUUGCGGCCAAGUUUGGUUUAAAUUGGCCCAGUAGUUUCAGAGAAGAGAGUUUUGUAAAAGAUUACUAAGAUUUACGAAAAAUGGUUAAAAAUUGACUAUAAAGGGCAAUAACUCCUAUAGGGGUCAACUGACCAUUUUGGUCAUGUUAACUUAUUUGUAAAUCUUACUUUGCUGAACAUUAUUGCUGUUUACAGUUUAUCUCUUUCUAUAACCAGGUGCUCCGCAGGGCGCAGCUUUAUACGACCCCAGUGGUUGAACCCUGAACAGUUGGGGCAAAUUUGGUCACAAUAUUCAAGCUUGAUUCUGUCUUAAUUUGGAUUGUGAUAAAAUUUUUGACAUAAUAUAGGUUUUUGUCACAAAAUUAAUGUGGUCAAAGAUCUAACAAAUCUAUUGCACACUACUG